CCUACGGGUGGCAGCAGUGGGGUAUAUUGCACAAUGUGGGGAACCCUGAUGCAGCGACGCCGCGUGGGUGAAGAAGCGCCUCGGCGCGUAAAGCCCUGUCAGCAGGGAAGAAAAUGACGAUACCUGAAGAAGAAGCCCCGGCUAACUACGUGCCAGCAGCCGCGGUAGUACGUAGUGGGCAAGCGUGAUCCGGAUUUACUGGGUGGAGAGGGGGCGCAGACGGCGAUGCAAGCCAGGAGUGAAAGCCCGGGGCCCAACCCCGGGACUGCUCUUGGAACUGCGUGGCUAGAGUGCAGUAGGGGAGGGCGGAAUUCCUGGUGUAGCGGUGAAAUGCGUAGAUAUCAGGAGGAACACCGGUGGCGAAGGCGGCCCGCUGGACUGAAACUGACGUUGAGGCCCGAAAGCGUGGGGAGCAAACAGGAUUAGAUACCCCAGUAGUC
rnacentral:rRNA from 1 species